rnacentral:lncRNA from 1 species
GAAUAAGGAGAUGAAGUAGUGUCUCCCUCCAUUCAAUCCUCAAACAAUUGAGAGAGGAAAUUCACCUUUAUCAUCUGAGUGUAGCAAACACCAAGAACAGAAUACAUUUUGAAUGAGAGGAAGAGACUGGAAAAUCAACUCAGGGAAAACAAGUGAGAUACUGAACACCAAAAAUCCUGGGAUGAAUGGUGAUUUCUAUGAGCAAAGCCCAGAGAUUGUUAACUGAAUAAACAGGUACAGAAAAAGUUCUUUGUCGUAGGAAUGUCUGAUGAUUGGCUGGCAUAUCUCGUAAAUCAUAUAUCACAACAAACAUCUUCACCACAGUCUUAUUAGGAUUAAAUAAGGUCAAAGUUGUUGCAGCAGCAGUAGCAGGAGAAAGGGCUAAGUUCUAUAUGUAUGUGAGAGAAUGAUUAUUGCAAUUGUAGGCUAUAAAACACAUACCACUUGUAUUGUUCCUGAAGGAGGUACUCGAUAACCCCUUUUACCAAGGGACUCUAAAGUAAUCACACCCUUGAAAUAAAAGAAGACAAAUUGAGUACAAACUGAUGCAUAUGUACAUAAAAGACUAAAAUAAGAAUAACUCAUGUAAUUUAUUAAAAUUUCAGAAUUCUAUUUCUAUGGAAAAACAUUCAUAUUGAAUUAAUAGAGAUACAUUCUAUGUUUCUACCCCUAAGGAAACAUUUUACUGUUCCUCCUGGUGAUGUCGCUAUAAAGAAUAUAUAACAUCAAUGGCCACAGCACUCAAAAUUACUAUUAAGAUAUAGGAAUAAAAGAAAGAAGUUCCUAACUAAAAAGGAAAUAAAGGAAGGUAAUAGGACCCUUCCCAUGUAUCUUGAGGGAGAGGGGAAAUGAAGAAGCAAGUAAUUUAUUGGUCUUCGGGCAUGUAAAAAGUCACAAGUGUAGGAAAGUAAGCCUUGGCCAAAAAUAAAGUCAAUUCUUCAGU